rnacentral:lncRNA from 1 species
CAAAAUCGUUCCCUCUCUCUCUCUCUGCUACCCGCAACAUCCGCCCCAGCCUCCCUCUCCGAACUCCGGCCACCUCUCCCUCGGUUCUGUGACUCAACCCGACGGUACCCCGUGCGCCGCCUCCUUCCUCGGCUGCGGCGAAGACGCCGCCGCCUCCCUCUCCUCACGAUACCCACCCCACUGUUCCUGCUUCUCUCCCACUUUUUCGCACCCCCGACGAUUUCAGCAGCGACAAGUCGCCGCUCCGCCUUCCUCCU